rnacentral:rRNA from 1 species
CUACGGGCGGCAGCAGUGGGGAAUAUUGGACAAUGGGGGAAACCCUGAUCCAGCAAUGCCGCGUGUGUGGAGAAGGCCUGCGGGUUGUAAAGCACUUUCGGUUGGGAGGACUGCUUCUAGCACUAAUAUUGUUGGAAGUUGACGUUACCUUCAGAAGAAGCACCGGCUAACUCCGUGCCAGCAGCCGCGGUAAUACGGAGGGUGUAAGUGUUAAUCGGAAUUACUGGGCGUAAAGCGCGCGUAGGCGGCUAGAUCAGUCGGGUGUGAAAGCCCCGGGCUUAACCUGGGAACUGCAUCCGAUACUGUCUAGCUUGAGUACAGGAGAGGAGAGUGGAAUUCCACAUGUAGCGGUGAAAUGCGUAGAUAUGUGGAGGAACACCAAUGGCGAAGGCAGCUCUCUGGCCUGAUACUGACGCUGAGGUGCGAAAGCGUGGGGAGCAAACAGGAUUAGAUACCCUCGUAGUC